UACAUACUCCCUCCGUUCGAAAUUACUCGUCCAAGAAAUGAAUGUAUCUAGAUGUAUUUUAGUUGUAGAUACAUCCAUUUUUGUGACAAGUAAUUCCGAACGGAGGGAGUACUAC
rnacentral:pre_miRNA from 1 species